rnacentral:rRNA from 1 species
GUAGGUGGCAAGCGUUGUCCGGAAUUAUUGGGCGUAAAGCGCGCGCAGGCGGUUCUUUAAGUCUGAUGUGAAAGCCCACGGCUCAACCGUGGAGGGUCAUUGGAAACUGGAGAACUUGAGUACAGAAGAGGAAAGCGGAAUUCCACGUGUAGCGGUGAGAUGCGUAGAGAUGUGGAGGAACACCAGUGGCGAAGGCGGCUUUCUGGUCUGUAACUGACGCUGAGGCGCGAAAGCGUGGGGAGCAAACGAGGAUUAGAUACCCUGGUAGUCCACGCCGUAAACGAUGAGUGCUAAGUGUUAGGGGGUUUUCCGCCCCCCUUAGUGCUGCAGCUAACGCAUUAAGCACUCCGCCUGGGAGUACGGCCGCAAGGCUG